UCAGGAUUCAUGAGAAGUAUGAAACUGUACAAGAAGAAAUCCAGAAACUACUGAUAGAGAAGAGAAAUCACGCGGGGGAACACGCAAAAGAAACUCAUCAAAAGAUAGAGGAAUAGAGGAAUGAAUAGAGAAAUAGAAGAAUAGAUAGAGGAAUAGAGAAAUGGAUAGAGAAAUAGAGGAAUGGAUAGAGAAAUAGAAGAAUAGAUAGAGAAAUAGAAGAAUAGAGAAAUAAAAGACUAGAGGAAUAGAGGAAUGGAUAAAGAAGUAGAGGAAUGGAUAGAGAAAUAGAGAAGUGAAGAAAUGGAUAGAGAAAUAUAGAAAUGGGUAGAGAAAUAUAGGAAUAGAGGAAGGGUGGAAAUUGAUAGAGAAAUAGAGAAAUUGAUGGAGAUGUAAGAAAAGACAACGUCAGACGAUUUAUUUUUAAUGCAAACAUAAUUGUGUCAUUAACGAUGUACAACUAAUAUUUAAAGUAAUAAUGUCAUAUUUUUCAGGGGUUUAGAUUUUUCAAAAUAAUAUAUACCCCUGUAAUAGAAACUUCUUGUUACUUCUUGUUUUGAUUUGAAAGGCCACCAUAAAAAUAUUCAAUAAUUUUUUUACUGUAAUGUUUCUUCUAUGUAUGAGACAUGAGUCUUUGGUUUAUAAUUAUUAGUGAAUAUAAUUCAAUGAGAGGGCUUUAUAAGAACGAGUUUUUAAGUCUUUCAACAGAAUUGUUAGGGCAUUGCUAUUGUUAAUAUAGAUCAAUAUUAAUUUUGACCGUCACAAAAGAGUACAUUUAAGUACAGCACAGUAUAAAAUUGUAUAUCAUUCCAACUGAAAGAAAUGUUAGACUAAAGUGUCUUAAUUCAGUUUCAAUUAAUUUUGAGCCCAUUUUUCUUGUCAAGAUAGCAUUGAUAUUUUACAUGUUCAGAAUUGAAAUGUAGAAAAUAAAACUUAGUAUUUAUUCACAUCUUAGCAUUACAUAUUGAACAAUCUAGUCUUGUUUAACAUUUAUCUUAUCGUGUAUCAUCAUUUGAUGAAAAACAACGUUCAAGGUCUCUAAAGAAAAUAAGAAUUCAAAAGUUUCAGACGGCUAUAUAUAUGCCUUCAAAAUACAAACAGAGAUAAUCGACUUGAUUAGAUCUUUAUUUGGUUUGCUGUUCCGGCCUUAAUUAUCAAAUUUUGUGUUCAUUUCCGGGAAAGUUUAAACAUGAAAUAUCCGGAAUGGAUUGAUCUGAAAAAGAUAUAGAACCCCGAUAGUUUUGUUAAUGGUUUUUGUUUAUCUUAACGUUUUUUUGUUUUUGUUUUAAUAUAAUCUAUCCAUCCUAUCCUAUUUAUGCUAUUUAAUGAAUUAAUUUUCAUAAAUAUUUGAAAACUGAAAGAUUUUGAAUCUUUUUUCUUGUUAGGUAUGUAUCUGUUUGCCAUUAAUCGAUCUUGAUAGAAAAUAAAAGAUAUCAAACAUUA